CUGGCCCCGACGGUGACGGAGGGCUUUGAUGAGGCCGGCGGCCGCGUGCUUGCCAGGAAGGCCCGGGGCUUGAGGCCCUGGAAGGCCUGGCCCGUUCAGGAGUCCCGGCUGUUUGGGGGAAUGUCCCACGCCCUGUGGGGAUUUGAGCCGUGUCUCCCGGCGACUUGGGUGUCCCGGUUGGUGUGUGGUCGGGCUGGGAGGGCGUUGGUGCGGGCGGGAACCGCCGGGUAGCGACCACGUCUCGUCAGGGGGUUCGUGCCUGCUGCUGGGCACGGGAACGGCUCCGGGGGGGUUUACGGGCGCUGAGGGGAUUCCGCAUCAUGGAGAGGUCAAGGGGAGUUGGUGGCCGUCACCCUUCGUCAGGGCAGGGUAGCAUCAGUGCCCCGUGCUGGGGUUCCUGGAGAGCCGGCUGGCACGGACAGACUCUUGUGAGGGCAAGUGGCUGAUCGUGCGUCGGAUGGGUCCAGCAAAGGAGAGAAAGCUUCGGUGCGCGCGCGCUCGCCAGGGAAAGGGUGACAGCGGGUGGGACCGAGAGGGAGAGAGAGAGAGGGAGAGAACAAAGGAAGAGAGAGGGUUUCCGCAGGGGCGGUGAGUCCUGGCGGAAGUCCUGAGGCAGAGGAGGUGCCAGGGGUUUGGGUUUCCCGGUCGUGUCGGGGGGUGGCGCAGGUUGCCCCAGUGGGCCUGAAUGUGCCUCCGUGGGGCACCUUGUUGCCGUGGGGGGCGGGGAGCCGGCCUUGGGGAUCCAUCUUUCGGGCCCUGGGACGUGGGAGAAGAAUGCCGGGGCCUCUCUCUGUGCCCCUGGCACGCCUCUGUGCAGGCCGGGCCUGCACCACCCCCCCCGUCCCCGGCAGGGUCCGUGUGGCUGCAGACACCCAGAGAGAGGGGGGCUGGGGAGGCUGGGGAGCCGUGGCAGCCCGAUGCAGUGCGGGUCUCCAGGUGGAGGGGCCCUGGUCCCUGGCGCCAGCGUGGCCCUUCCUCCUUGUGGAAACCCUUGUGGUGUGUGUGCUCUCUCGCCCUGACCCAGGAGAGCAGCAUGGCGGACCCCUGAUCUUGUGGCGUGCCACCGCGCGAGGCCGAGGAGCUCCCGCAGACCAGUGGGCGUGGCGUCCUUGUCGCGGCUCUGUGGAGACCUGGCGAUGGAGAGCAGCAUGGCGGACCCCUGAUCUUGUGGCGUGCCACCGAGCGAGGCCGAGGAGCUCCCGCAGCCCAGUGGGCGUGGCGUCCUUGUCGCGGCUCUGUGGAGACCUGGCGAUGGAGAGCAGCAUGGCGGACCCCUGAUCUUGUGGCGUGCCACCGCGCGAGGCCGAGGAGCUCCCGCAGACCAGUGGGCGUGGCGUCCUUGUCGCGGCUCUGUGGAGACCUGGCGAUGGUGAGCGGCCCCUGUCCUCAGUGGUGGAGAACUCGCCCUUGGGGCGCUCGUCUGUCCGGAGCCCCGGGCCAGCCCCGCUUCUCGCGGGCUUUGGCCCCGGCAGGCCAGCUCCGGGGCGUGAGGGGGAGCGUCCCGUCCUGCCCAGUGGCUCGUCUGUCUGGGCACGCCCCCAAACGCUGCCGUGAUGGAGCGGGUGGGAUGUCCAGGUGCGGAGGCCGUGAAUUUGCCUUGCGGCGGCGGAGCCCGUGCUCGGAUCGAUGAUGACUCCCUCUAAAGCAUUCCUUGGAAAUCUGAACAAAAUGAGUGAGAACUCACUACCGUCUCCUCAUCGAAACUGAGGUCCGGCACGUGGCGGCCACCGGGGGCUCGGGGUAGAUGGGCCCUUGGCCUUGGGGCCUCUGGUGUCAGCAGCCACUCGGGUGAGGUCUGGGGAAGGCGGCCGCCUGCCGGGCCCAGGAAGCAUGGGGCCCGUCGCCCGGCGCUGGCCUCGGGGGAGAGGCCGCGUGCCCGAGCGUGCUGGAGAUCCCGGGCGGCCUCCCGCCGGCCUUGGGGGUUUCGCAAGCCGUCGCGGGGGCCGAAAUUUGGGCCCGGCCCGCGAGGCAAGUGUGCGGCCCUAGGGCCCCAGGGGGCGUCCUGGCCCAGGCCGGGCGCCCUUCUCAGGAUGCUGUGGGGAGACGGGAUCCCGGCAGGGUAGUGUUCUCUUUCUGCUCUGGGGACCCCUGAGGGCCACCUGCUGCAGGGGGUCUGUGGUAGCGGGGGCCCUUGGAUCAGGGCCGUCCCCCAUGGGAGGGGGCAGCCUGGGAACCCCUGAGGGCGCUCCCCUGGGACGUCCAGGGAUGUUGGGGCGGAGGCUGGGGCUGGGUGGCGAGAAGGGGGCAGCUGAAGUGGUGAGCGACAGGCGGGCAGAGG
rnacentral:lncRNA from 1 species